GGUUUUGAUCAUACAAGCGUUAAUGCAUCGGAUCCCAGCAGAACUCCGUAGUUAAGCGCGCUUGGGCUAGAGUAGUACUGGGAUGGGUGACCUCCCGGGAAGUCCUAGUGUUGCACCCU
rfam:Picea glauca, whole genome shotgun sequence.